rnacentral:ncRNA from 1 species
AGAAAGUUUGAUUCUUUCUUGGGUUCUUAUGAUGAGUUACUGAAAUUGUAUGAAAAUUAUUGUAGGUAAAGGUUGAUGUUUAAUACUGUGAUAGGAAUAGAAAUAAUUUACUAGUUAUGAUAUAUGAAUUCUCAGCAUGGAAAAUUAAAUAAUUUACUAAUGUAAGAUUUAGCAGUUAGUUAAAACCUGAUGAAAUAUUGUGCCAGCAGUCGCGGUUAGACUUUAAGGUUAAGUGAGAAAAAAUCAGGAUAAGUUAAAUGAGAGAGAGGUAUAAAGUCGAAAAAAUAAAAGGUGAAAUUAAGUUAUUUUUAUUGAUCAGAAAUCUAUCUUAAAAUUGAAGCUAAAGAUUAUUAGAGUUAAACUAGGAUUAGAUACCCUAUUAUACUAAUAAAUAUAGACUAGCCUGAACUACUAAUAGAUAUGGACUUUAAAUUUGAAGAAUUUGGCGGUGGUUUAAUCUUAUUAGAGGAAUCUGUUUUUGAAUCGAUAUGCCACGUGGGAUCUUACUUGUUUUAUUUAGCUUAUAUACCGUCAUUAUCAGAUAAUUUUUAGAGAAAUUAAUUAUUAAAAUUUAUUAAAGAGAUAAGAGAAAUUAGAUCAAGGUGUAGUUUAUGAACAAGUUAAAAUGGAUUACAAUAAAAUAUAUUUAUUACGGAGUAGGGGUGAGAAAUAAAUGCUAUGAAGGAGGAUUUAAUUGUAAUUAAAGUUUAGUAAGCUUUAAAGAUAUAAGCACUAAAUCAUGUACAUAUCGCCCGUCGCUCUCACUAUAUAGGUGAGAUAAGUCGUAACAUAGUAGAUUUAUUGGAAAAUAAAUCUAGUUUGAA